rnacentral:rRNA from 1 species
CGAAUGGGGAGAUUCAUCGUCAACCUCUUUGGCUUACGUGUGGGUGCGAUGAUCGGGACCUCGGUCUCGCGUCACGCGCUCGCUGCGGCAUGUCCGGAGGGGUCGGCGUGCACUUCUCCCCUAGUAGGACGUCGCGACCCGUUGGGUGCUUGUCUACGGUCCGGUUGGUCGACUGGCGAGUCACGUGCAAACGCGAUCUCGCCAGACCACUGGUUUGCCCGAUUGGCUGCCCGACGGUAUUGAACGAUAAUUAACAUGGUAUUGGGCCGCACAAAGUGCGUUCAGGCCCGUCGUCAGGCUCGUCUCGCUCGGAUUUUCGAACCUGGUUUCGUUGUCGAGUGCUUGACGUGGCUGUUGGGCGACGGUGUCCUCGGACUGGCUCUAAAUAUUCGAACGGAUAUACCUGUCGGCGACGCUACUGCUUUGGGUACUUUCAGGACCCGUCUUGAA